GAUGAACGCUGGCGGCGUGCCUAAUACAUGCAAGUCGAGCGAACAGACGAGGAGCUUGCUCCUCUGACGUUAGCGGCGGACGGGUGAGUAACACGUGGAUAACCUACCUAUAAGACUUGGAUAACUUCGGGAAACCGGAGCUAAUACCGGAUAAUAUAUUCAACCGCAUGGUUCAAUAGUGAAAGACGGUUUUGCUGUCACUUAUAGAUGGAUCCGCGCCGCAUUAGCUAGUUGGUAAGGUAACGGCUUACCAAGGCAACGAUGCGUAGCCGACCUGAGAGGGUGAUCGGCCACACUGGAACUGAGACACGGUCCAGACUCCUACGGGAGGCAGCAGUCGGGAAUAUUCGGCAAUGGGCGAAAGCCUGACACAGCAACACCGCGUGAGUGAUGAAGGUCUUCGGUUCGUAAAACUCUUUUAUUAGGAAAGAAAAAAUGUGUAUGUAUCUAUGCACGUCUUGACGGUACCUAAUCAAAAAGCCCCGGCUAACUACGUG
rnacentral:rRNA from 1 species